UACGUAGGGGGCAAGCGUUGUCCGGAUUUAUUGGGCGUAAAGGGCUCGUAGGCGGCCAACUAAGUCGGACGUGAAAUCCCUCAGCUUAACUGGGGAACUGCGUCCGAUACUGGAUGGCUUGGAUUUGGGAGAGGGAUGCGGAAUUCCAGGUGUAGCGGUGAAAUGCGUAGAUAUCUGGAGGAACACCGGUGGCGAAGGCGGCAUCCUGGACCAAUAUUGACGCUGAGGAGCGAAAGCCAGGGGAGCAAACGGG
rnacentral:rRNA from 1 species